CUUUUCCUGCUGGGCUCUGGAGCUGGCUGCACACGCGAGCUGCCCGGGACAUGGCUGCUCUGGAGCGCCUUUUCCCAUUCCCAUUCCUGUUCUCAUUCCUGUUCCUGUUCCUGUUCCUGUUCCCAUUCCUGUUCCCGUUCCUGUUCACCCCAUUCCCAUUCCCCAUUCCCAUUCCCAUUCCCAUUCCCACUCCUGUUCCCAUUCCCAUUUCCAUUCCCAUUCCCAUUCCCAUUUCCAUUCCCAUUCCCGUUCUCAUUCCUGUUCCCAUUCCUGUUCCCGUUCCUGUUCCUGUUCCUGUUCACCCCAUUCCCAUUCCCAUUCCCAUUUCCAUUCCCAUUCCCAUUCCCAUUCCCAUUCCCAUUCCCACUCCCAUUCCCAUUUCCUUUCCCGUUCCCACUCCCAUUCCCAUUCCCGUUCCCAUUCCCGUUCCCAUUCCCGUUCCCAUUCCCACUCCCAUUCCCGUUCCCAUUCCCGUUCCCAUUCCCGUUCCCAUUCCCACUCCCAUUCCCGUUCCCGUUGCCGGUACCAUGAUGGAGCUCCCGCCGCAUUCCCACGGCUCUCCAGUGCACAGCCAGCCCGUUCCAGGCCCGGCCUGUUGCUCCGGGGUCACCCGUUCAUGUUUACUGCAGGGAAGGAGGCCGCGGCAAACAUUCCCAAACAUUCCUGCUGCCUGCCCCAGCCGGCCGGGAGCUCUCCCGCCGCGCCGGCCGGGCCUGGGAACGGCGGCCGGACACGGAGCCCAGCUCUGCCCGCCCGCUGCAGGUGCAGCCACAGGGGACAGGGCCCUGGUGGCCCUUUUGGGGGCUCUUUUAGGCCAAGGAGGUUUGGGAGAUUCGGGAUCAGCCUGGAGAAACUUUGGAUGGAGCCUGACCACACCAGCCCCUUCCUGGGUUUCUCCAGAGGGGAGUGUGACCCCAGUCCUUUUAGGCCCUCACACUGCACCCAUUCAGGGGUUGUGCCCCACAGCUCCGUCCCCAAAUAUCCGUCAAUCCCUCUCCUAGGGGGCUUUUCCCCCUCAACCCCUCCGGUGCUAUCGUGGUUAAUGAAGGCCCGGCCAGCGCCAAGAGCCGAGCGCUGCUGUCCAACCUCAGCUUCCCCUCCCCGGGGGCAGCCGGGCCCCCCUGAAGCUUUCCAGCAGGGAAACCCCCACACAUCUGGCAGGAGCCGCUGCCCAUCCCCGCCGAGCCGAGGAGGAGCUGCCAGGGAGGGCAGGAGGUGGCCGGAGAGGUCAGGGGGAGAGCAAACAUCCCGGCCCUGCCAGCGCAGCCGCCGGCUCCAGCUCCAGCUGCCACACAAAGAGCCCCUUCUGGAAGUGGGGCUGAGCCCUUGGGGGCUUUGGGGAGGAAAUUUGGC
rnacentral:lncRNA from 1 species